GAUGAACGCUGGCGGCGUGCCUAAUACAUGCAAGUAGAACGCUGAAGGAGGAGCUUGCUCUUUCCGGAUGAGUUGCGAACGGGUGAGUAACGCGUAGGUAACCUGCCUGGUAGCGGGGGCUUACUAUUGGAAACGCUAGCUAAUACCGCAUAACAGUAGAUAUUGCAUGAUAUUUGCUUGAAAGGGGCAAUUGCUCCACUACCAGAUGGACUUGCGUUGUAUUAGCUUGGUGGUGUGGUAAAGGCUCAACAAGGCGACGAUACAUAGCCGACCUGAGAGGGUGAACGGCCACAAUGGGACUGAAGCACGGGCCAGGAUCCUUAGGGAGGCAGCAGGAGGGGAACUUCGGCCAUGGACGGAAGUCUGACCGAACAACGCCGCGUGAGUGAAGAAGGGUUUCGGAUCGGAAAGCUCUGUUGUAAGGGAAGAACGAGUGGGAGAGUGGAAAGUUCACGCUGUGACGGUAUCAUAACAGAAAGGGACGGCUAACUACGUG
rnacentral:rRNA from 1 species